rnacentral:rRNA from 1 species
UACGUAGGGUGCGAGCGUUGUCCGGAAUUAUUGGGCGUAAAGAGCUCGUAGGCGGUUUGUCGCGUCUGCUGUGAAAACCUAAGGCUCAACCUUGGGCUUGCAGUGGGUACGGGCAGACUAGAGUGCGGUAGGGGUGACUGGAAUUCCUGGUGUAGCGGUGAAAUGCGCAGAUAUCAGGAGGAACACCGGUGGCGAAGGCGGGUCUCUGGGCCACUACUGACGCUGGAGAAGCGGAAAAGCAUGGGGAGCGAACAGG